UGGGGAAUAUUGCACAAUGGGCGCAAGCCUGAUGCAGCCAUGCCGCGUGUAUGAAGAAGGCCUUCGGGUGGUAAAGUACUUUCAGCGGGGAGGAAGGGAGUAAAGUUAAUACCUUUGCUCAUUGACGUUACCCGCAGAAGAAGCACCGGCUAACUCCGUGCCAGCAGCCGCGGUAAUACGGAGGGUGCAAGCGUUAAUCGGAAUUACUGGGCGUAAAGCGCACGCAGGCGGUUUGUUAAGUCAGAUGUGAAAUCCCCGGGCUCAACCUGGGAACUGCAUCUGAUACUGGCAAGCUUGAGUCUCGUAGAGGGGGGUAGAAUUCCAGGUGUAGCGAUGAAAUGCGUAGAGAUCUGGAGGAAUACCGGUGGCGAAGGCGGCCCCCUGGACGAAGACUGACGCUCAGGUGCGAAAGCGUGGGGAGCAAACAGG
rnacentral:rRNA from 1 species